GACAGAGGGUGCAAACGUUGUUCGGAAUUACUGGGCGUAAAGCGCGUGUAGGCUGCUCGGAAAGUCGGGUGUGAAAGCCCUGGGCUCAACCUAGGAAGUGCACUCGAAACUUCCGAGCUCGAGAUCUGGAGAGGAAGGCGGAAUUCUCGGUGUAGAGGUGAAAUUCGUAGAUAUCGAGAGGAACACCGGUGGCGAAGGCGGCCUUCUGGACAGCAUCUGACGCUGAGACGCGAAAGCGUGGGGAGCAAACAGG
rnacentral:rRNA from 1 species